rnacentral:rRNA from 1 species
CGCGCCUUCGGGUGAGCGCAGGGCGGUUAAAUAACGCGUGGGAACGUCGCCCUUCUCUACGGAAUAGCCUCUGGAAACGGAGAGUAAUACCGUAUACGCCCUUUGGGGGAAAGAUUUAUCGGAGAAGGAUCGGCCCGCGUUAGAUUAGGUAGUUGGUGGGGUAACGGCCUACCAAGCCUACGAUCUAUAGCUGGUUUUAGAGGAUGAUCAGCAACACUGGGACUGAGACACGGCCCAGACUCCUACGGGAGGCAGCAGUGGGGAAUCUUAGACAAUGGGGGCAACCCUGAUCUAGCCAUGCCGCGUGAGUGAUGAAGGCCUUAGGGUCGUAAAGCUCUUUCGCCUGUGAUGAUAAUGACAGUAGCAGGUAAAGAAAACCCGGCUAACUCCGUGCCAGCAGACGCGGUAAUACGGAGGGGGUUAGCGUUGUUCGGAAUUACUGUGCGUAAAGCGCGCGUAAGGCGGAUUAGAAAGUUGGGGGUGAAAUCCCGGGGCUCAACCCCGGAACUGCCUCCAAAACUGCUAGUCUAGAGUUCGAGAGAGGUGAGUGGAAUUCCGAGUGUAGAGGUGAAAUUCGUAGAUAUUCGGAAGAACACCAGUGGCGAAAGCGGUCACUGGCUCGAUAAUGACGCUGAGGUGCGAAAGUGUGGG